rnacentral:rRNA from 1 species
AACGAACGCUGGCGGCAUGCCUAACACAUGCAAGUCGAACGAGACCUUCGGGUCUAGUGGCGCACGGGUGCGUAACGCGUGGGAACCUGCCCUUAGGUUCGGAAUAACUCCCCGAAAGGGGUGCUAAUACCGGAUAAUGUCUUCGGACCAAAGAUUUAUCGCCUUUGGAUGGGCCCGCGUUGGAUUAGCUAGUUGGUAGGGUAAAAGCCUACCAAGGCGACGAUCCAUAGCUGGUCUGAGAGGAUGAUCAGCCACACUGGGACUGAGACACGGCCCAGACUCCGACGGGAGGCAGCAGUGGGGAAUAUUGGACAAUGGGCGAAAGCCUGAUCCAGCAAUGCCGCGUGAGUGAUGAAGGCCUUAGGGUUGUAAAGCUCUUUUACACGGGAUGAUAAUGACAGUACCGGGAGAAUAAGCUCCGGCUAACUCCGUG